GUAGGUGGCGAGCGUUGUCCGGAAUUACUGGGCGUAAAGGGAGCGUAGGCGGUUUUUUAAGUGGGACGUGAAAUCCCCGGGCUUAACCUGGGAAUUGCGUUCCAUACUGGGAAACUAGAGUGCAGGAGAGGAAAGUGGAAUUCCAAGUGUAGCGGUGAAAUGCGUAGAGAUUUGGAGGAACACCAGUGGCGAAGGCGACUUUCUGGACUGUAACUGACGCUGAGGCUCGAGAGCGUGGGGAGCAAACAGGAUUAGAUACCCUGGUAGUCCACGCUGUAAAUGAUGAAUACUAGGUGUAGGGGGCGAAGCCUUCUGUGCCGCAGUUAACACAUUAAGUAUUCCGCCUGGGGAGUACGAUCGCAAGAUUA
rnacentral:rRNA from 1 species